UACGAAGGGUGCAAGCGUUAAUCGGAAUUACUGGGCGUAAAGGGUGCGUAGGCGGUUCGUUAAGUCUGUCGUGAAAUCCCCGGGCUCAACCUGGGAAUGGCGAUGGAUACUGGCGAGCUAGAGUGUGUCAGAGGAUGGUGGAAUUCCGGUGUAGCGGUGAAAUGCGUAGAGAUCGGGAGGAACAUCAGUGGCGAAGGCGGCCAUCUGGGACAACACUGACGCUGAAGCACGAAAGCGUGGGGAGCAAACAGG
rnacentral:rRNA from 1 species